rnacentral:rRNA from 1 species
AUGAGUGGCGAACGGGUGAGUAACACGUGGGAAAUCUGCCUAGGAGUGGGGGAUAACAUUCGGAAACGGAUGCUAAUACCGCAUAUCUUUUUGAACCGCAUGGUUCUUAAACGAGAGACGGCUUCGGCUGUCGCUCUUAGAUGAUCCCGCGGCGUAUUAGUUAGUUGGUGGGGUAAAGGCCUACCAAGACCAUGAUACGUAGCCGACCUGAGAGGGUGAUCGGCCACACUGGGACUGAGACACGGCCCAGACUCCUACGGGAGGCAGCAGUAGGGAAUCUUCCACAAUGGGUGAAAACCUGAUGGAGCAAUGCCGCGUGAAUGAAGAAGGUCUUCGGAUCGUAAAGUUCUGUUAUUAGAGAAGAACAAGUCAAGGAGUAACUGUCUUGACUUUGACGGUACCUAACCAGAAAGUCACGGCUAACUACGUGCCAGCAGCCGCGGUAAUACGUAGGUGACAAGCGUUGUCCGGAAUUAUUGGGCGUAAAGGGAGCGCAGGCGGUUGGAAUAGUCUGAUGUGAAAGCCCACGGCUUAACCGUGGAAGGUCAUUGGAAACUGUCCAACUUGAAUACAGAAGAGGUAAGUGGAAUUCCAAGUGUAGCGGUGAAAUGCGUAGAUAUUAGGAGGAAUACCAGUGGCGAAGGCGACUUUCUGGACUUAUACUGACGCUGAGGAACGAAAGCAUGGGGAGCAAACAGGAUUAGAUACCCUGGUAGUCCAUGCCGUAAACGAUGAGUGCUAGGUGUCGGGGGUCAUACCUCGGUGCCGGAGCUAACGCAU